rnacentral:lncRNA from 1 species
GGGAGCGGGAGUGGGAGUGCUCAGUCUCUCGGGUCGCCUGGAUAUUUAUGAAAAGGACGCCAGGGAAAGGGCUCCGCUGUAGACCGAAGGGAUAAGGGUUCGAUUCAGAAGGGAGCGUUAUUUUUAUCCCCUCUCCACAUAAUGGAACGUUUAAAUGGUUAAAUCAAGUACCUUGCAGGAGAGGGUGGGGUGGCCUUGAGAAUACACUCAAGGCCUCAGUACAUGCAGUCUGGAAGUGGGGGAAUCAAGAGCACCCUGUCUCUAGUACUGUCCUCAAUGAUAAGGCGCUGAGGUUCCCAACCUGGACCAAGAAGUACAUAUUCAGGUUCAAAGGAUAAACCAAAACAAAACCUGAGCUCUCUCUCUAGAAUGAAGUGCCUGGUCCCAGUUCACCAUCUAAUAUUUAUGGAAAGCUUAUCAGAGAACAGAAGUGUCAGCAGAGGACUGUAAGUGCUAUGUGAUUGGACGACGGUGGCCAUAGAAUUUCACCUGCCCAGCACGUAUUCUCUCAUCCUCUCCUCCUCUGCCUUCUUUGGGAGGGAGAAAUCAGAAGGAGUGGGGAUGCAGUUCAGAGAGCAGAGGAGAAGAGAAGAAAAGAAGGAAGAAGGAAGAGGACUAGGGUUGGGUGGGGGGGGAGGACACCAAUGGGAAGAGGGACAGAUCAACUCUAUACACAAAAGUAAAUCAAAACACCAAAAACAGGGGUCUAUGUAAAGAAGCCUCUUCCCGUGAAUUGCUCGUUGCAUAGCUGCAGGGAGGGUGUUUAGGGGCAUAGAGAAUGAAAACAUACCUGUAUUUUGGUGUAGGGAAAUUGUUUCUGUCAAUUCACACCGUCCACACACCACCUCCCACCCCAACCCCGCCACUACCAAAUUCCUCUAAAUAAAAAUAAUUAUGAGAUACAGGCCAACAAAAACGUCAGCGUUAGGCUGUUAUUUAGAGAGAAUUGGAAAGCGUUUGAAUGUGGCCCUGUUGUUUAAUAAACGAUAACAAUGAUUA